rnacentral:rRNA from 1 species
GACGAACGCUGCGGCGUGCUAAUACAUGCAAGUCGAGCGAAGUUUUUCUGGUGCUUGCACUAGAAAAACUUAGCGGCGAACGGGUGAGUAACACGUAAGGAACCUGCCUCAUAGACUGGGACAACUAUUGGAAACGAUAGCUAAUACCGGAUAACAGUAUUUCUCGCAUGAGAGAUAUUUAAAAGUUGGUUAUGCUAACACUAUGAGAUGGCUUUGCGGUGCAUUAGCUAGUUGGUGGGGUAAAGGCCUACCAAGGCGACGAUGCAUAGCCGACCUGAGAGGGUGAUCGGCCACACUGGGACUGAGACACGGCCCAGACUCCUACGGGAGGCAGCAGUAGGGAAUCUUCCGCAAUGGGCGAAAGCCUGACGGAGCAACGCCGCGUGAGUGAAGAAGGAUUUCGGUUCGUAAAGCUCUGUUGUUAGGGAAGAAUGGAUAUGUAGUAACUAUACAUGUAAGAGACGGUACCUAACCAGAAGCCG